GGCAAUACUCAGAGGCAGAAGAAGACAAGAUAAACAGAGACCAAGAGAAAAGAGGUGAAACCGUUUCAUAAGAGUAAUAGAGAGGAGAUGGACAUAUGGGCAAAUUAGCUAUCCCAACUGGAACCUAGCUAAUGCAUUCCGAAGAGGCAGACUUCCAGUCUGAGGUAGAUGAAAAGAGCAGCCAUAGAAACAGAUCUGUAGAUGCAUCAAUUGGAAAGGAUGGGAGGGUUGGAGGAGGAGCACAUUUGGAUGACUACAUUAGAUUGUGGCAUAUGAGGUCACUUUAUCUGAUGAAGCAUCAAUAGGAGAGGAUGAAAGGGAGGGAGGGAGAGGAAAAGAAAGAAGAACAGAUGAGGAGCACUAUGUUCUGCUUCCGUGUGGAUUGACAGCAUUGCUUUAAUGAGCUGCUGGAGGGCACAAUGGAGGAAGAGGGAGAGCGUCCAUUAUAGGCAGUUUGCCAUGGCCCUAAAUGGGCUUUUGGA